rnacentral:rRNA from 1 species
UACGUAGGGCGCAAGCGUUAUCCGGAAUUAUUGGGCGUAAAGAGCUCGUAGGCGGUCUGUCGCGUCGAUCGUGAAAACUUGGGGCUUAACCCUGAGCUUGCGGUCGAUACGGGCAUGACUGGAGUUCGGCAGGGGAGACUGGAAUUCCUGGUGUAGCGGUGAAAUGCGCAGAUAUCAGGAGGAACACCGGUGGCGAAGGCGGUUCUCUGGGCAUGAUCUGACGCUGAGGAGCGAAAGUGUGGGGAGCGAACAGG